GGGGUUGUGGCUCAGUGGCAGAGCGUAUGCCUGACAUGUGUGAGGCACUGGGUUCAAUUCUCAGCACCG
rfam:Spermophilus tridecemlineatus contig035618, whole genome shotgun sequence.